rnacentral:rRNA from 1 species
AGCUGCAGAAUAAGCACCGGCUAACUCUGUGCCAGCAGCCGCGGUAAUACAGAGGGUGCAAGCGUUAAUCGGAAUUACUGGGCGUAAAGCGAGCGUAGGUGGCUUGAUAAGUCAGAUGUGAAAGCCCCGGGCUUAACCUGGGAACGGCAUCUGAUACUGUUAGGCUAGAGUAGGUGAGAGGAAGGUAGAAUUCCAGGUGUAGCGGUGAAAUGCGUAGAGAUCUGGAGGAAUACCGAUGGCGAAGGCAGCCUUCUGGCAUCAUACUGACACUGAGGUUCGAAAGCGUGGGUAGCAAACAGGAUUAGAUACCCUGGUAGUCCACGCCGUAAACGAUGUCUACUAGUCGUUGGGUCCCUUGAGGACUUAGUGACGCAGCUAACGCAAUAAGUAGACCGCCUGGGGAGUACGGCCGCAAGGUUAAAACUCAAAUGAAUUGACGGGGGCCCGCACAAGCGGUGGAGCAUGUGGUUUAAUUCGAUGCAACGCGAAGAACCUUACCUGGUCUUGACAUAUCUAGAAUCCUGCAGAGAUGCGGGAGUGCCUUCGGGAAUUAGAAUACAGGUGCUGCAUGGCUGUCGUCAGCUCGUGUCGUGAGAUGUUGGGUUAAGUCCCGCAACGAGCGCAACCCUUGUCCUUAGUUACCAGCGGUUUGGCCGGGAACUCUAAGGAUACUGCCAGUGACAAACUGGAGGAAGGCGGGGACGACGUCAAGUCAUCAUGGCCCUUACGACCAGGGCUACACACGUGCUACAAUGGUAGGUACAGAGGGCAGCUACACAGCGAUGUGAUGCGAAUCUCAAAAAGCCUAUCGUAGUCCAGAUUGGAGUCUGCAACUCGACUCCAUGAAGUAGGAAUCGCUAGUAAUCGCGGAUCAGAAUGCCGCGGUGAAUACGUUCCCGGGCCUUGUACACACCGCCCGUCACACCAUGGGAGUUGAUUGCACCAGAAGUGGUUAGCCUAACCUUUUAGGAAGGCG